AUUGAACGCUGGCGGCAUGCCUUACACAUGCAAGUCGAACGGCAGCACGGGGGCAACCCUGGUGGCGAGUGGCGAACGGGUGAGUAAUGCAUCGGAACGUGCCCAGUAGUGGGGGAUAACCCGGCGAAAGCCGGGCUAAUACCGCAUACGACCUACGGGUGAAAGCGGGGGACCGUAAGGCCUCGCGCUAUUGGAGCGGCCGAUGUCUGAUUAGCUAGUUGGCGGGGUAAAGGCCCACCAAGGCGACGAUCAGUAGCUGGUCUGAGAGGACGACCAGCCACACUGGGACUGGGACACGGCCCAGACUCCUACGGGAGGCAGCAGUGGGGAAUUUUGGACAAUGGGCGCAAGCCUGAUCCAGCCAUGCCGCGUGCGGGAAGAAGGCCUUCGGGUUGUAAACCGCUUUUGGCAGGAACGAAACGGCGCAAGCUAAUACCUUGCGCUAAUGACGGUACCUGCAGAAUAAGCACCGGCUAACUACGUGCCAGCAGCCGCCGUAAGAC
rnacentral:rRNA from 1 species